CGGGGGCGGAGCCUGGAGCUCAUCAGCCCUGCUGGGCCAGGCAGCAGGCUUAAUUACUGCACUUACCAGAGAAAAUUCCUGGAGAUCUAGAACAAUUGGUGAGGAGAGGAUGCCUCGGCAGUGCCUGCAGCAUUGUUCAGUUAUUGGUGUCUCCCCUCAGGGGUGGUCCCCAUAGUGCUCCCACCAAAAUAGGGAGAGAAGAAGCUGCAGAGAAGACUGAGGAAGGAAGCAGAAUGGAGCCAGAAGGAGACCUGGAGGAGGCACUUGGAGCCUAGAGACACGUGAAGAAACUGUGCUUGUCUUUUGGUCGUGGACGGGGUGACACAGAUGUGGGUGAGACCUCUAGGGAGGUGACAAUGACAGCUUUUAUCUUGAUUUUGAUUUUGCUCUUUUCCUUCGGGGCUUGUCUGGUUGUUUCUGACCCUUUUCUGUGGGUCCCCCCGGGAAGAUGCUUUAGACUUGUGGCAGGCUUUGGGGCCUUGCUCUGGGACAAUCCCAUUUGGAUGGAGUUUUACCCAUGAGGGGACGGGUAACUUCAGGUGCUUUAUUUAGAAACCAGAUUCUUUGGCUUUCCUCUACGGUUUCCUAAUUGUAUUAAAGUUCCUUCCCGUUGAAGUCUCAUGUUUUGU